UUCUGCUGGUCUGAUUGGAAAAGACAUUGCUCCCACAGCAGUGGUCAAGUGUCAUUCACACCACUGUCCGAGGAGUGAGGGAAAGAGCGAGGGUGAGGAGGAGGAGAGGAGGUGGGCGAGGUUAAACAGUCUUAGCCCUCUCCAUCAGUCCCAGCCCUCCGGAGGGGACGGUGUGGCACUUCUUGUGCUCCAGCAGCUGCUCGGGUGUCUUGAGGAACUUGUGGCAGACGUCGCACUCAAACAUUCGCGUGAUGAGGUGGAUCUGGAGGUGACGUUCAUACAUGCUACGCGUCUUGCACACAAAAUUGCAGAAGACACACUCGAAGCCUGUAGAGAAGGAAAGAGGAGAGGACUUGUCCUCAGUCCCUGAUCCCGAGUGGCUUCCGGAGCUGGACUGGCUGCCUGCGGAGGAGGGCGGGGCAAGCAGGCCCCUGAGUUCUUCGUUACCAUGGGUGAGAUCUCCGCCCUCCGAGCUGUUGAGUGAAUCGCUGAGGGCCGAGAGGGAUGAGGACGUGCUCUUGGUCUCGCUGAGGGGACUCCUUGAGUUCAGACCUGGA